GCUUUGGCGUUUGGGAAUAAUUAUUUAACAGCAGCUUGUUUGCACUUUGGAACACCUCGUGCUUCCAGAGCCGGCCCAUCCUGCUGGGGAGGGGAGAGGUCCCAGCGCUGCUGUCUGGCAGACCUUGGUUUCGGUGGGCACCAGAAGCGAGGCAGAUUGCUUGCUGCUGCAACUUCACGCGUGAGCUCCAGGCUCCCCUGGUUGGAAGGUGCCAGGGAGUGAGGCGGUUUUAAGAUUCCUUCAACAUCAGGAUUCCCGAUCAUCUCAUCAACCGACUUGUUAAGAAAACUGAGGCCCAGGGAAGUGGCUCACAAUUGUGUAGAAUUGUGAGGUGUCUUGACUGCUGGGCCAGGACUGAAGGACGUACGCCCUCUCCCGGAAUCGUCUCAGCUACAGAGAACCACCUUGCCCAAGGUCACCACCCUCUUGCCAAGGGGGUCACUUGGAUCUAAUGAUUGGUUAAUGCUGGGGGGAGGGGGUAAGUCUUGGCCCCCAGCCUCAACAGUGAUGGCGGUGGCUCCGGGGUCAUCCUAGCUUCCGAGUUUCGUCUAGGUUGAGGGCGCCAUGUUGGGACUGCAUCAGCUUCUCUCUCUGCCUGGUUCUGCUUCCUUUACUUUACCAUUUGUUGUUAGUCCAGGGCACACCCCAGUAAACUUCCUGCAUGCGAGUUCAUCUUAGACUGCUUCCCAGGGAAUCGUAUGUACAACACUCGGGAGUAGAGAGUCACUGAAACGGCCCUAGCUCUGAGAGACCCCUCCUGACCAGCCAUCACCCCUCCCGCUCUUCCUUACUCUGAUUUAUUGUCUUCGUAGAAUUUAACUCUCAGGUCUAUGGCCAUACUGCCCUGAAUGCGCCUGAUCUUGUCUGAUUUCAGAAGCUAAGCAGGGUCGUGCCCGGUUAGUACUUGGAUGGGAGAAUUUAGUGCUCGAACACUAUUGCUGUAGCUUUCUUUAAUAAAUAAAUUUGACUGCC
rnacentral:lncRNA from 1 species